CCCCAAGACAUGCUAACCUCUCACCAUUACAAUGACAGGGGAGGUUAGCAUUUUAUAUCAUACCCCCAAGACAUGCUAACCUCUCACCAUUACAAUGACAGGGGAGGUUAGCAUUUUAUAUCAUACCCCCAAGACAUGCUAACCUCUCACCAUUACAAUGACAGGGGAGGUUAGCAUUUUAUAUCAUACCCCCAAGACAUGCUAACCUCUCACCAUUACAAUAACAGGGGAGGUUAGCAUUUUAUAUCAUACCCCCAAGACAUGCUAACCUCUCACCAUUACAAUGACAGGGGAGGUUAG